AAACAAAACAAAACAGUAUGUCUUGUAGCAUAAGCUAGGUGUAAGUUUGCUCUCCUCCUGCUUCAGUCAUUGUGUACUAAAUUACAGAUGUGUGUUACUACCAAGUGUGGUUUUAACUCUAAAGAGUUUAUGAGAAUACACUUGACGUAGAUGUCUCUGUUUAGCAAAUCAGGUGCCCAUUUGUUUAGAUUGUAAUCACAUCUUGAUAAUUGCAUCAUUCAAUUCAAAAUACAUGUUUAAUAUAAUUAGCUUAACAAACAUCAUAGCUUGCCCUUACUAUCUUUAAGCAAGCAUGGUGAGGAUAUUCAUGUGUGCCUGCAGUUGCAAAUAUAUUAACAUUAUUAACUGAGAAAAAUGUCACACUCAAAAUCAAAACAUAGUUUCUGCUAAAUGACAAAGCAUUUUUGUUCAAGUCUUUUUGUUUGUCUUUUUUUUUUUUUUUCCAGGCAGGAUUUCUCUGUAUAGCCCUGGCUGUCCUAGAACUCACUUUGUAGACCAGGCUGGCCUCGAACUCAGAAAUCCACCUGCCUCUGCCUUCUGAGCGCUGGGAUUAAAGGUGUGCGCCACCACCGCCUGGCUUUGUUUGUCAUUUAUUUUGUUUGCAGACAAGUUUUUUCAUGUUUGAGUCUUAUUUUCGUGUGAUAAUAUUUCUCCUUGGAUUCUGGACUUUGACGAUAAUGAUUUUAACAAUUUCUCUGCCUUUAGUACAAGCUCAGUACCAUUUUGUUCCUGAUACUAUCUCUCUCUUUCUUUCUUUCCUUUUUUUUUUAAUGACAUUUUUUUUUUCUUUUUGAGGAAAUGAAAAUUUAUUUUACAGAAGGUUGUGAGCCACUAUGUGGUUGCUGGAAAUUGAACUUGGGACUUCUCGAAGAGCAGUUGGUGCUCUUAACCAUUGAGUCAUCUCAAUUCCACAAUAUAAUAGAUUAACUUUUAAUAUUUGGCCUUGACAAUUAUUCUUCAUAGGCUACAGACUAUAUUUUUGUUACAGUGUAUUCUUUAUGCUUUGUCUAUGUAAAUAAACUAAAAGACAAAUUUAGAGAAAUUUACACCUCUAAUCUUGGUAGCAAUAGAUCGCAUAGGGAGAGUAGGAUUAUAAGAGUUAUCAAACGUCAUAGAGUUUCCAUGACUAUUUGCUAAUAAAUAUAAAGACAUUGAGCUUUAAGAAGUACCUGUUCUGCCAUAGAAUGGUGGCACACACCUUUAAUUCCAGCACUUGGGAGGAAGAGGCAGGCAGAUUUCUGAGUUUGAGGCCAGCCUGCAGCCUGUUCUACAGAGUGAGUUCCAGGACAGCCAGGGCUAUAAACCCUGUGUCGAAAAACC
rnacentral:lncRNA from 1 species